CCCUUAGAUGUCCUGGGCCGCACGCGCGUUACACUGAUGCAUUCAACGAGCUUAUAACCUUGGCCGAGAGGCCUGGGCAAUCUUGUUAACGUGCAUCGUGAUAGGGAUAGAUUAUUGAAAUUAUUAAUCUUGAACGAGGAAUUCCUAGUAAACGCAGAUCAUCAAUCUGCAUUGAUUACGUUCCUGCCCUUUGUACACACCGCCCGUCGCACCUACCGAUUGGAUGGUCCGGUGAAGCCUCGGGAUUGUGGUUCUUGCCGCUUUAUUGUGGCGUGACCGCGAGAACUUGUCUAAACCUUAUCAUCUAGAGGAAGGUGAAGUCGUAACA
rnacentral:rRNA from 1 species